rnacentral:tRNA from 1 species
AGGAAUGUAGCCAAGUGGAACGGCAUCGUGUUUUGCCCCGAGUAAUGUUGGUUCGAGUCCAGCCAUUCCUA